rnacentral:rRNA from 1 species
UACGUAGGGGGCAAGCGUUGUCCGGAAUCAUUGGGCGUAAAGAGCGUGUAGGCGGCCAGAUAAGUCCGCUGUGAAAUCUCGAGGCUCAACUUCGAGCUGUCGGUGGAAACUGUCUGGCUAGAGUCCGGAAGAGGAGAAUGGAAUUCCUGGUGUAGCGGUGAAAUGCGCAGAUAUCAGGAGGAACACCGGUGGCGAAGGCGGGUCUCUGGGCCGUAACUGACGCUGAGGAGCGAAAGCGUGGGGAGCGAACAGG